rnacentral:tRNA from 1 species
GGGGACGUGGCCUAGUCCGGUAUGGUAACGGGCUCCAGACUCGUCGAUCGGGAGUUCAAAUCUCCCCGUCCCCACCA